rnacentral:piRNA from 1 species
UGCCAAUUCAGAAGAAUAAGUGAGAA